UUCUUAUCGGGUUGGCAAAAGGCUACUCAUCGUCUUCUUCAUCGGUGGCAAAGAAGCGAGCGAGAGAGAGAGAGAGAUGAGCGCAGAACUAAUCCAAGACCUCCUCGCCUCAGUUCUCGAUGAUGCAGCUAUUUGAUACCUCUUGAGGAUGAUUUUCUUUUGGAUUUGGCGGAGUAUUUGUUGACUGGAAGGCGAAUCUGCCACGCCAAGAAGGUAGGCGCAGAACUAAUCCAAGACCUCCUCGCCUCAGUUCUCGAUGAUGCAACUAUCUGAUACCUUUUGAGGAGGAUUUGCUUUUGGAUUUGGCAGAGUAUUUGUUGACUGGGAGGGGAAUCUGCCGCGCCAAGAAGGGUUUCUAUCGGAUCAACAGCCAAGCUGCGAGAUGGAGAAGAAGAUGGUUUCUAUUGGUCCCACGGACAAGUGGCGAGAUGGAGAUUAAGAUGUGAUUAUCACAAGUGGGCAGAUUGUCAUUCAUUCUUUUGAAAUUUCAGGAUCAGUUGCUAAGCAGCUCAUUCAUCUCUUCUUAGUUUCAAAAUUCAUUUGCUGAAUUCUGAACUUUGUGUACUUGAUGAAGAUCUUUCUUUGCUUGCUAUUUAGAAAGCUAAUCUUCUCCCAACAAAAUGGAAAGACAACAGAAUUGGGCUCCUUCUGCAUUUAGCAUAUGGCAUGUUCAUUACGUUGUUGGUUCUUUUUAUGCUCAUAAUUCAAUGGAUUGUCCUCCUUCGACAGAAAGUUUUGAUUUACACCAGAUUCUUUUGUGCAAUCCUGAUGACAUUUACUCAAAGGAAAUAGCAGACAAGGAGCCACAAUAUCAACAAUUUGAAUUCCUCUGGAUGGGAUAUUUUGAGAACUUUAUCAGGUGCAGCUGCAUAUUGUAUGUCUACUCCACGAUUUGCAAAAAUUUGGUGGGAUAAAGGAUGUGACUUGGGAAGAUCAAUUUUGAUAUGGCGACCGAUAGGAUGCCCAGCUUUUGGCACACUUGGUGAUUGUGUGAUACAAGGGUUAGACAUUGGCUCUUCUUAUGUUUUAUAAAUGAUACAAAAUUUGUGAUAUAAUAAUUCACAAUUUACUUGUUUCUGUUUAGAACCACCAGCUUUAGAUUGAUAACAUAAUUUGUGUUUAUCAUAA